CAGCAGCCACGGGAAUACAGAGGGUGCGAGCGUUAAUCGGAUUUACUGGGCGUAAAGCGUGCGUAGGCGGCUAAUUGAGUCGGAUGUGAAAUCCCCGAGCUUAACUUGGGAAUUGCAUUCGAUACUGGUUAGCUAGAGUGUGGGAGAGGAUGGUAGAAUUCCAGGUGUAGCGGUGAAAUGCGUAGAGAUCUGGAGGAAUACCGAUGGCGAAGGCAGCCAUCUGGCCUAACACUGACGCUGAGGUACGAAAGCAUGGGGAGCAAACAGGAUUAGAUACCCGUGUAGUCCCUGUCUCUUAUAC
rnacentral:rRNA from 1 species